GCCCCGAUAGUGUAGCGGCCUAUCAUACGAGCCUGUCGAGCUCGUGACACGGGUCCAAAUCCCGUUCGGGGCG
rfam:Thermoplasmatales archaeon A-plasma AMDT1_APLC00041, whole genome shotgun sequence.